GGCCCGUUAGUCAAGAGGCUAAGACAUCGCCCUUUCACGGCGAAGACAGGAGUUCGAUUCUCCUACGGGUCACCA
rnacentral:tRNA from 1 species